rnacentral:tRNA from 1 species
GCACCCGUAGAUCAAUUGGAUAGAUCGUUUGACUACGGAUCAAAAGGCUAGGGGUUCAAAUCCUCUCGGGUGCG